CUGCGUGACGGUUUCGCAAGAGACUAGUUACCCGACCUUUUGUCAUUGUGCGUGGGAGGACGGGAGGAGCGGGAGCGGAACGGACCGUGUUUGCGGGCCGAGCCGAUCCUAAGCUCUGAACGAACGACCGCGAUUGAAAACUUCGGCGGAAGUGGUAGGCUUUCUGACCUGCCCGCCGCCGGCCGUAUUCCAAAACUCUUGUGAGAAAUUGAAGUCUGACCAUUUUUGAGAAAUGAGAAAAAGCA
rnacentral:misc_RNA from 1 species